rnacentral:rRNA from 1 species
UCGGCUUAGAGUUUGAUCAUGGCUCAGAUUGAACGCUGGCGGCAGGCUUAACACAUGCAAGUCGAGCGGUAGGGAAGCUUGCUUCCCACAAGCGGGGGACGGGUGAGUAAUGUAUGGGGAUCUGCCCGAUAGAGGGGGAUAACUACUGGAAACGGUAGCUAAUACCGCAUAAUCUCUCAAGAGCAAAGCAGUUCUUUGCUCUAUCUGAUGAACCCAUAUGGGAUUAGCUAGUUGGUGAGGUAAUGGCUCACCAAGGCGACAAUCCCUAUCUGGUCUGAGAGGAUGAUCACCCACACUGGGACUGAGACACGGCCCACACUCCUACGGGAGGCAGCAGUGGGGAAUAUUGCACAAUGGGCGCAAGCCUGAUGCAGCCAUGCCGCGUGUAUGAAGAAG